rnacentral:rRNA from 1 species
AACGAACGCUGGCGGCGUGGAUAAGACAUGCAAGUCGAACGGGAUUUUUUCCUGUAGCAAUACAGGAAAAAGUCUAGUGGCGAACGGGUGCGUAACACGUGAGCAACCUGCCGUGAAGUGGGGGAUAGCUCGCCGAAAGGCGAAUUAAUACCGCAUGUGGCCAAGGAAGACAUCUUCCUGACGCCAAAGCCGGGGCAACCUGGCGCUUCUCGAGGGGCUCGCGGCCUAUCAGCUUGUUGGGGAGGUAACGGCUCACCAAGGCUAUGACGGGUAGCUGGUCUGAGAGGACGACCAGCCACACUGGAACGAAGACACGGUCCAGACACCUACGGGUGGCAGCAGUCGAGAAUUUUUCACAAUGGGGGAAACCCUGAUGGAGCGACGCCGCGUGGAGGAUGAAGGAUUUCGGAUUGUAAACUCCUGUCAUUAGAGAACAAGGCACACGGUUUAACUGGCCGUGUGUUGAUAGUAUCUGAAGAGGAAGAGACGGCUAACUCUGUGCCAGCAGCCGCGGUAA